AAUCUUCCGCAAUGGACGCAAGUCUGACGGAGCAACGCCGCGUGAGUGAUGAAGGUUUUCGGAUCGUAAAACUCUGUUGUUAGGGAAGAACAAGUAAGGGAGUCACUGCCCUUGCCACGACGGUACCUCACCAGAAAGCCACGGCUAACUACGUGCCAGCAGCCGCGGUAAUACGUAGGUGGCAAGCGUUAACCGGAAUUAUUGGGCGUAAAGCGCGCGCAGGCGGUUUCUUAAGUCUGAUGUGAAAGCCCGCGGCUCAACCGUGGAGGGUCAUUGGAAACUGGGAAGCUUGAGUGCAGAAGAGGAGAGUGGAAUUCCAUGUGUAGCGGUGAAAUGCGUAGAGAUAUGGAGGAACACCAGUGGCGAAGGCGACUCUCUGGUCUGCAACUGACGCUGAGGCGCGAAAGCGUGGGGAGCGAACA
rnacentral:rRNA from 1 species